rnacentral:rRNA from 1 species
AUAUUGGACAAUGGGGGCAACCCUGAUCCAGCCAUGCCGCGUGUGUGAAGAAGGCCUUAGGGUUGUAAAGCACUUUCAGCUGUGAAGAUAAUGACAGUAGCAGAAGAAGAAGCUCCGGCUAAAUUCGUGCCAGCAGCCGCGGUAAUACGAAUGGAGCGAGCGUUGUUCGGAAUCACUGGGCGUAAAGCGUACGCAGGCGGUCAUGAAAGUUAGGAGUGAAAGCCCCGGGCUUAACCCGGGAAUUGCUCUUAAAACUCCAUGACUGGAGUACUGGAGAGGUUGGCGGAAUUCCAAGUGUAGCAGUGAAAUGCGUAGAUAUUUGGAGGAACACCGAUGGCGUAGGCAGCCAACUGGACAGUUACUGACGCUCAUGUACGAAAGCGUGGGGAUCAAACAGG